GGGCCCAUGGUGUACCGGUUGCAUGCUCGAGAUCCGUUGAACAGAGGUAGGAGUGUUUGUCGAGAGGAGGCCGGUUCGAAUCCGGCUGGGCCUA